rnacentral:rRNA from 1 species
UACGUAGGGUCCGAGCGUUGUCCGGAAUUACUGGGCGUAAAGAGCUCGUAGGUGGUUUGUCGCGUUGUUCGUGAAAACUCACAGCUCAACUGUGGGCGUGCGGGCGAUACGGGCAGACUGGAGUACUGCAGGGGAGACUGGAAUUCCUGGUGUAGCGGUGGAAUGCGCAGAUAUCAGGAAGAACACCCGUGGCGAAGGCGGCUCUCUGGGCCGAUACUGACGCUGAGGAGCGAAAGCGUGGGGAGCGAACAGG